GUUUUGACUAAGUGCCGAAUUGACCAUGUCGUCCCUUUCUUAUCAUUUCAUUCCCCAGUCUCAUCAAUCCCUCGAUUAUUGUCAAAACUGAAACACGUUGUUUUUCUACUUGGAAGUUUUAUCCACCACUAGAUUUUUCACCCUCUCCGGGGGUCUGUAUACCAAUAAACUGUUGAUCUCUCAA